rnacentral:rRNA from 1 species
GGGUUGUGAGGUUAAGCGACUAAGCGUACACGGUGGAUGCCCUGGCAGUCAGAGGCGAUGAAGGACGUGCUAAUCUGCGAUAAGCGCCGGUAAGGUGAUAUGAACCGUUAUAACCGGCGAUUUCCGAAUGGGGAAACCCAGUGUGACUCGUCACACUAUCAUUAACUGAAUCCAUAGGUUAAUGAGGCGAACCGGGGGAACUGAAACAUCUAAGUACCCCGAGGAAAAGAAAUCAACCGAGAUUCCCCCAGUAGCGGCGAGCGAACGGGGAGGAGCCCAGAGCCUGAAUCAGCAUGUGUGUUAGUGGAAGCGUCUGGAAAGGCGCGCGAUACAGGGUGACAGCCCCGUACACAAAAGCGCAUGUGCUGUGAGCUCGAUGAGUAGGGCGGGACACGUGGUAUCCUGUCUGAAUAUGGGGGGACCAUCCUCCAAGGCUAAAUACUCCUGACUGACCGAUAGUGAACCAGUACCGUGAGGGAAAGGCGAAAAGAACCCCGGCGAGGGGAGUGAAAAAGAACCUGAAACCGUGUACGUACAAGCAGUGGGAGCACCCUUUGGGGUGUGACUGCGUACCUUUUGUAUAAUGGGUCAGCGACUUAUAUUCUGUAGCAAGGUUAACCGAAUAGGGGAGCCGGAGGGAAACCGAGUCUUAAUUGGGCGUUAAGUUGCAGGGUAUAGACCCGAAACCCGGUGAUCUAGCCAUGGGCAGGUUGAAGGUUGGGUAACACUAACUGGAGGACCGAACCGACUAAUGUUGAAAAAUUAGCGGAUGACCUGUGGCUGGGGGUGAAAGGCCAAUCAAACCGGGAGAUAGCUGGUUCUCCCCGAAAGCUAUUUAGGUAGCGCCUCGUGAAUUCAUCUCCGGGGGUAGAGCACUGUUUCGGCUAGGGGGCCAUCCCGGCUUACCAACCCGAUGCAAACUGCGAAUACCGGAGAAUGUUAUCACGGGAGACACACGGCGGGUGCUAACGUCCGUCGUGAAGAGGGAAACAACCCAGACCGCCAGCUAAGGUCCCAAAGUCAUGGUUAAGUGGGAAACGAUGUGGGAAGGCCCAGACAGCCAGGAUGUUGGCUUAGAAGCAGCCAUCAUUUAAAGAAAGCGUAAUAGCUCACUGGUCGAGUCGGCCUGCGCGGAAGAUGUAACGGGGCUAAACCAUGCACCGAAGCUGCGGCAGCGACGCUGAUGCGUUGUUGGGUAGGGGAGCGUUCUGUAAGCCUGUGAA